rnacentral:rRNA from 1 species
AUUGAACGCUGGCGGCAGGCUUAACACAUGCAAGUCGAGCGGGGAAAGGUAGCUUGCUACCUGACCUAGCGGCGGACGGGUGAGUAAUGCUUAGGAAUCUGCCUAUUAGUGGGGGACAACAUCUCGAAAGGGAUGCUAAUACCGCAUACGUCCUACGGGAGAAAGCAGGGGACCUUCGGGCCUUGCGCUAAUAGAUGAGCCUAAGUCGGAUUAGCUAGUUGGUGGGGUAAAGGCCUACCAAGGCGACGAUCUGUAGCGGGUCUGAGAGGAUGAUCCGCCACACUGGGACUGAGACACGGCCCAGACUCCUACGGGAGGCAGCAGUGGGGAAUAUUGGACAAUGGGGGGAACCCUGAUCCGGCCAUGCCGCGUGUGUGAAGAAGGCCUUUUGGUUGUAAAGCACUUUAAGCGAGGAGGAGGCUACCGAGAUUAAUACUCUUGGAUAGUGGACGUUACUCGCAGAAUAAGCACCGGCUAACUCGGUG